CGGACGGGUGAGUAACGCGUGAGAAUCUGCCCUUAGGCGGGGGACAACAUCGGGAAACUGAUGCUAAUACCCCAUAUGGCGAGAGCUAAAAGAUUAAUUGCCUGAGGAUGAGCUCGCGUCUGAUUAGCUAGUUGGUGGAGUAAAGGUUUACCAAGGCGAUGAUCAGUAGCUGUUCUGAGAGGAUGAUCAGCCACACUGGGACUGAGACACGGCCCAGACUCCUACGGGAGGCAGCAGUGGGGAAUUUUCCGCAAUGGGCGAAAGCCUGACGGAGCAACGCCGCGUGAGGGAAGAAGGUCUGUGGAUUGUAAACCUCUUUUCUAUGGGAAGAAGCUCUGACGGUACCAUAGGAAUCAGCAUCGGCUAACUCCGUGCCAGCAGCCGCGGUAAUACGGAGGAUGCAAGCGUUAUCCGGAAUUAUUGGGCGUAAAGCGUCCGCAGGCGGCUAGACAAGUCUGCUGUCAAAGACCACAGCUCAACUGUGGGCAGGCAGUGGAAACUGUAGAGCUAGAGUACGGUAGGGGUAGAGGGAAUUCCCAGUGUAGCGGUGAAAUGCGUAGAUAUUGGGAAGAACACCAGUGGCGAAGGCGCUCUACUGGGCCGUAACUGACGCUGAGGGACGAAAGCUAGGGGAGCGAAAGGGAUUAGAUACCCCUGUAC
rnacentral:rRNA from 1 species